CCUACGGGGGGCUGCAGUAGGGAAUCUUCCGCAAUGGACGAAAGUCUGACGGAGCAACGCCGCGUGAGCGAAGAAGGCCUUCGGGUCGUAAAGCUCUGUCCUAAGGGAAGAAGCAUGACGGUACCUUAGGAGGAAGCCCCGGCUAACUACGUGCCAGCAGCCGCGGUAAUACGUAGGGGGCGAGCGUUAUCCGGAAUCACUGGGCGUAAAGGGUGCGUAGGCGGCCGAUUAAGCCAGGGGUGAAAGGCUACGGCUCAACCGUAGUAAGCUCUUGAAACUGUAGGGCUUGAGUGCAGGAGAGGAGAGCGGAAUUCCUAGUGUAGCGGUGAAAUGCGUAGAUAUUAGGAGGAACACCAGUGGCGAAGGCGGCUCUCUGGACUGCAACUGACGCUGAGGCACGAAAGCGUGGGGAGCGAACAGGAUUAGAUACCCUGGUAGUC
rnacentral:rRNA from 1 species